rnacentral:rRNA from 1 species
CGCGUAGGCGGAUCGGAAAGUUGGGGGUGAAAUCCCGGGGCUCAACCCUGGAAUGGCCUUCAAAACUCCCGGUCUUGAGGUCGAGAGAGGUGAGUGGAAUUCCGAGUGUAGAGGUGAAAUUCGUAGAUAUUCGGAGGAACACCAGUGGCGAAGGCGGCUCACUGGCUCGAUACUGACGCUGAGGUGCGAAAGCGUGGGGAGCAAACAGGAUUAGAUACCCUUGUA